rnacentral:rRNA from 1 species
GACGUAGGGUGCAAGCGUUGUCCGGAUUUACUGGGCGUAAAGAGCGCGUAGGCGGUCUUGUAAGUGUGAAGUGAAAUCUCCAGGGCUCAACCCGGAAACUGCUUCGCAUACUGCAAGACUUGAGGGAUUCAGAGGUUUGUGGAAUUCCUGGUGUAGCGGUGAAAUGCGUUGAUAUCAGGAGGAACACCGGUGGCGAAGGCGGUUCUCUGGGCAUGUCCUGACGCUGAGGAGCGAAAGUGUGGGGAGCGAACAGG